CCCAUUCGUUCAUGCAACUUUCAGGUAGAUUGUGAUCAGUUUUAAUAUUCAUCAUUCUAGCAGCCAAUGAUGAAAUUUGUUUUACAACACUAAACUUUAUUUAUAUAACUUAUAUCAUAAAACACUAAGUUUAUUUUAAAUUUCAAACUCUAUAUCCAAGCUUCUAACCCUAAUUAUGUUCUAACUCUUACUUACAAAAGUAACAAGUUUAUAAUUUUUCAAAAUUUUCAAAAAACCUUAACUUCAUACACUAUAUACAAACUUUAAUAUCUAUUUUAACCUUAUAUAAAAAUCAAACACGUCAGUAUCAUAUCUACUCAAUUUAAAUUAAUAUUUUAAUUUUUAUGUUAAAAAAUUCAAAAGCUUGAUAUAUAAAUUUUGUAUUAUCCAAGAUAUAAAUUAAAUAUAACUAUAAAUCAAAAUUUUAUAUAACUUUCCCAAAGAUAAAAAAAUCAAUUAACAAAAAAUUUUGUAAAAGUUUAGAAGAUAUGAUGAGCAUGUUAUUGGUUAAGAAAGUGCCAUAUAUUAAAAAACGAUAUAAUCAAAAUUUAUUUUAAAUCUAAAUCUUAAAUUUAAAUUUUACAUCUGUUUUCAAAACUUCAAAUUUUAAAUUUAAAUGCUAAACUCUAUUUCAUAAACUCUUAACUCUAUUUUCUAAUACCUAAAUACCAAUCACAAAGUUGAACUUUUAAAAUUUAAAUCUAAAUUUGUAAAUUGUGAAAUCUAAAUCUUAGGUUUUUCCCAAAAUAAUUUUUAUUUUCGAAAAUUUAUCAUAAUAUUUAUAUAUUAAGCACACACAAAAAUGAAUAGGAAAACAAUUGAUACAAAGAAACAAUUACAAAAUAUAUGAUAGGUCAACAUAAUGUGGCCAAUCACGUCAAAGGGUGCAGAUCAUUCAUUGUGUAACCACAACCAUUGAUGAAAGUUAAUCUAACGGACACAAAUGCACAAAGAUUAAAACCCCCAAUUUUUUCUUCUAUCUCCUCCUCUUCCUUCUUUCCGUGAAAAAUCUGAUCGAAUUGCUUCUCCCUGCCAUGAAGUUCACAUCGUCUCAAGCUCCGGAAGCUUACCACCUCGCCUCUUUUCGACUCGACUCGCCUCUGCUAGACUCUCCUCGCUUCAUCUCGAGUCUCCUUUGACUUCAAUGGACGCGGAGAUGGUGAUGCCUCGGAAGCUGCGUCGGAGAAGGCACGAAAACUGUAGUGGAGGAGACCCUGAGGCCGGUAGCAGAGACGAUGACGUCUCCUGUCAAGGCUGGAGGAGGCCAGGCGCAUGACUGUUGGAGGAGGCGGCUGGAGUGUUUUUUUUUUUGGUUUAGGGUUUUUUGGUUUAGGGUUUUUUGGUUUAGUGUAAACCUAAUUGGAGAAAUUGUGGUGGUUUACUUUAUUUUAUAAUUUCUGGUUUAGUUUUGUAAACUGAAAUUAUUUAUAAGAAAAAUUUAAUUUAUGAAUAAAUUUAUUUUAUUUUUAA